AUUGAACGCUGGCGGAAUGUUUUACACAUGCAAGCCGAGCGGCAGCGCGGGGCAACCUGGCGGCGAGCGGCGAACGGGUGAGUAAUACAUCGGAACGUACCCUGUCGUGGGGGAUAACGAAUCGAAAGGUUCGCUAAUACCGCAUACGACCUGAGGGUGAAAGCGGGGGAUCGCAAGACCUCGCGCGAUAGGAGCGGCCGAUGUCGGAUUAGCUAGUUGGUGAGGUAAAGGCUCACCAAGGCGACGAUCCGUAGCUGGUCUGAGAGGAUGAUCAGCCACACUGGGACUGAGACACGGCCCAGACUCCUACGGGAGGCAGCAGUGGGGAAUUUUGGACAAGGGGCGAAAGCCUGAUCCAGCCAUUCCGCGUGCAGGAUGAAGGCCCUCGGGUUGUAAACUGCUUUUGUACAGAACGAAAAGGUCUCUAUUAAUACUAGGGGCUCAUGACGGUACUGUAAGAAUAAGCACCGGCUAACUACGUGCCAGCAGCCGCCGUAA
rnacentral:rRNA from 1 species